GGCCCCGCAGCGGAUGGUCCGCACCCGCUAUAACUUGUAGUUCCCAACCCAGCCAUUAUUCGUGGGAGUCGCUCGUUCGAUUCGAGCCGGGGUCA